rnacentral:lncRNA from 1 species
GCUUAGCCUGGUGGAAAGUGCAUCCUGUAGCCUUUGAAAGGUCUAAGGUUCGACUCCCCCAACCCCCUAUUUCAAAAAAAAAAUCUUGCUACUUAGUAUCAGACAAGAAAGGUGGAUAUUGCUUGUUGUAUGGAAUGGGUUUCCUACUAGAUAAUAAUUGAAAGGCUUAAAUUUUAAGGAGUUGAAAAGAGGCUGCAGUACUUGGGGCAAGAAGACAUGAAUUUGUCGAUCUAGCCUGUGAAAAUAUUUAUCAUUUUAUCUUAAUAUAGACGGGUAGAAUUCAGAGUAGAAUGAGCAUAAUUGAUGAUGCAGAAUUUAUUAGAAGUGAGAAUUAGAAUAACUGUUUGUAUGGAUUGUUAUUGCUCUAAUGGAUAGAUGAGCUUGAUUGUUUUUUUUUUUUUGGAAUAGAAUUCAGAUUUCAGAACCUGGACACUUUAGAUGUAAGUAAUGAACGACCAUAUUAUCAGGGUACUUAAGGAUUUAUCUGCAAGGUUUAGUGUUCUGCCCCCAUUAUCACUUCAGCUUUAAAAAAUUAAUGAAGCGUA